rnacentral:lncRNA from 1 species
AUGAAUGGAGAACUAUCUCCUUCACAAAGAAGAAAAGGAACCAAUCAAAGGUGAAACAGAAACCUCAAUCCCAAAAUCCAAGUAAAAAGUAUCUCUCAAUUCAAACAUCAAUGUAGAAAUGUUGAUGCCAUCCUAGGUACAUCACUGGAAGACCAAAUCUUCUAUUUCAAAUCACCUAAGGUUAACCAGAACGAGAAUGCUUUUAGCAAUGGUAAGAGAAAGGGGAGAGAAGAG